rnacentral:rRNA from 1 species
UACGUAGGGGCAAGCGUUGUCCGGAUUUAUUGGGCGUAAAGAGCUCGUAGGCGGUUCGGCAAGUCAGAUGUAAAAACUCCAGGCUCAACUUGGAGAGGCCAUCUGAUACUGCCGUGACUAGAGUCCGGUAGAGGAGCACGGAAUUCCUGGUGUAGCGGUGAAAUGCGCAGAUAUCAGGAGGAACACCAGCGGCGAAGGCGGGUGCUCUGGGCCGGAACUGACGCUGAGGAGCGAAAGCGUGGGGAGCGAACAGG